rnacentral:rRNA from 1 species
AUUGAACGCUGGCGGCAGGCCUAACACAUGCAAGUCGAGCGGAUGAAGGGAGCUUGCUCCUGGAUUCAGCGGCGGACGGGUGAGUAAUGCCUAGGAAUCUGCCUGGUAGUGGGGGAUAACGUCUGGAAACGGGCGCUAAUACUGCAUACGUCCUGCGGGUGAAAGUGGGGGAUCUUCGGACAUCACGCUAUCAGAUGAGCCUAGGUCGGAUUAGCUAGUUGGUGGGGUAAAGGCCUACCUAGGCGACGAUCCGUAACUGGUCUGUGAGGAUGAUCAGUCACACUAGAACUGGAACACGGUCCAGACUCCUACGGGAGGCCGCAGUGGGGAAUAUUAGACAAUAGGCGAAAGCCUGAUCCAGCCAUGCCGCGUGUGUGAAGAAGGUCUUCGGAUUGUAAAGCACUUUAAGUUGGGAGGAAGGGCAGUAAGUUAAUACCUUGCUGUUUUGACGUUACCAACAGAAUAAGCACCGGCUAACUUCGUG